CUGUUUCGAUUUGCUGCGGGCUGAUGAAGUGGAUGUGGGUGUCUAUUCCGCCGGCGGUGGCGAUCAGGCCUUCGCCGCCGUGUACUUCUGUGGAGGCGCCGAUGAUCAUGUUGGGCGCCACACCAUCCAUGGUAUCGGGGUUGCCCGCUUUGCCGAAGCCUACGAUGCGACCGUCUUUAAUACCGAGAUCACCUUUUACGAUACCCCAGUGAUCAAGUACGAUUACGUUGGUGAUCACGAAGUCGAGCACACCUUCCUGGCGGAGGGCGGUGCUGGACUGCGACAUCCCGUCGCGCACGG
rnacentral:sRNA from 1 species